CUAGUCUUACCCAAACGCUGUCUAACGAGUGUGCGCGAUCUAGCACUCUCGAGUGGCCAAACGCCAGCCGUCCAUCACGCGACAUGAUCCUGCCACGUGGUGGACAGAUCCGACACGGGAGGGGGAGAGAGCGGUGGCGUUUUGUCGUGUUUUACGUUUCCAACCGGCCUGUCGUCUCGCACGCAUUCGCCCCCUCCUCUCCUCACACCCACCUCCUCAGCAGCAGGUCGAGAGAAAUCCCUAGGUCGUCGGCGACCGCAGCCGGCGAGAGAACAAACGGCGGCGAAAAAUCACGGGGGCAGCCCGCACAGGCGAGGAGGUCGACCACAUCGCUCCGCGCGGAGGCGAAGCACCACCAGUUUCGAUUGAGAGGGCGACCGCGCGGCCAGUGAAGGGGAGGGAGAAGGUACAGGCGGACAAAUCGGCGACGCGAAGACGACGAGGGCGCGGCGAGCUGCUUCAUCCCCGUCGGGAAGAGAGUACGCAACAGAAAUAGUGAAAACUAGCCAAGCACAACUUUCCCACCAUCCCUGGCAUGGCAGUUUUUAAGAUGGAGGACUCCCCAGAUCAAUACGAUGGCAAGCUACUGACUACACAUUUUUUUGGUUUUCUUUAUUUUUUUCACAACAUUAUUACAUGCCUUAGGUAGAGAAUCAGGCAAAAAACCCUGCAAACUAGAUCAGCACGGAAUUUAUUCAGAACCCGUCCUAUUCAGAAUUAGGCAAUCUCACACGUUUUUAAA